GCAUACCUAUAAUAUGUGAAUAAAUUUAAGAAAUAAUUAAUAUACACAAUUUUGAAUAUGAAGCAGUCUUGAAGGCUGAAAAAGAACAACCAGAUAGGAUACCAUCAGAUGUAUGCCAAGAAGGUUCUAUAUACCACCAUUAUCUAAAAAAGAAGGUUCUAUACCUACCACAACAACAAAUAUUACAAUGGAAAUAAAAAGAGUGAUAGUACAGAUGUUUUCCUCGAAAAUAGGCCAUCUUUAGUAUGUGAAUAAAAAGGCUCAAUGCACUAGGCUACCGCUGUACGUGGAGUCCGGAAAAGGGCCGGAACACAAAUGUCUUCAAUAUGUGAAUGAACUUCACAAAUAUGUAGGGCAACACUGCAGGUGUUAAAACCAAAAGAUCUGAACUACCUCCUUUAAGCAUAUUUUAUUAGCGGGAUGGACAUCACCUUUGUUUUCACACAAAAAAAGACAUUGUUUACCAGAAAUGAAUGCUUACUUUGUCGAAGUCGCUGCUUUGAUAAGCCUUCUCCAUGUCCCUGCAUAAUUCCGUCAAACGUCAGAACCAAUAUCACUCAAUUGAAUAAGGUAAAUUAAAACCUUGUUAAAGUCUGGCCUUUCUGCACUAUUUUAGGUAACCUCUUUCAGGUAGUAAUAUAGGCAACAUUCGGUAUCUAUACAUCAUUUCGUUUCACCUACUUCCUGCGCUUCUUCUCUUUUUCACUUUUAUAAGGCCUUAC
rnacentral:lncRNA from 1 species